GAUGAACGCUGGCGGCGUGCCUAAUACAUGCCAGUCGAGCGAACGGACGAGACGCUUGCUUCUCUGAUGUUAGCGGCGGACGGGUGAGUAACACGUGGAUAACCUACCUAUAAGACUGGGAUAACUUCGGGAAACCGGAGCUAAUACCGGAUAAUAUUUUGAACCGCAUGGUUCAAAAGUGAAAGACGGUCUUGCUGUCACUUAUAGAUGGAUCCGCGCUGCAUUAGCUAGUUGGUAAGGUAACGGCUUACCAAGGCAACGAUGCAUAGCCGACCUGAGAGGGUGAUCGGCCACACUGGAACUGAGACACGGUCCAGACUCCUACGGGAGGCAGCAGUAGGGAAUCUUCCGCAAUGGGCGAAAGCCUGACGGAGCAACGCCGCGUGAGUGAUGAAGGUCUUCGGAUCGUAAAACUCUGUUAUUAGGGAAGAACAUAUGUGUAAGUAACUGUGCACAUCUUGACGGUACCUAAUCAGAAAGCCACGGCUAACUACGUG
rnacentral:rRNA from 1 species